UUAAAGUUUUAUUCUUGCUUAAAAAUUUACUUUAAGGUUAUUAUACAUGUAAGUUUUUGUGUGUAUAUAAAUUGUACUCUUGAUGUGUAUGAUUCCUAGAAAUUAUUCGCAGUGUUAAAUAUUAUUAAUUUAAGAUAUUUUGAAUUAGUAAUCCUUAUUAAUUUUUUAUUAAAAAUGUCCAGCAUUCGCCGUUAUACAUUAAAUAUAAGUAAAUAUUUUCGGUUAAAAUAGAUGAUUUAGUUGUUAAGGAUAUUAAAUUGAACAUUAUUGGGUGAAAUUAUUAAUGUAUGUAAUGUGUCUUACUUUGGGUUUAUGUUACUGUGAAAUCUAUAUUAUUUAAACUAGGAUUAGAUACCCUAUUAUUUAUGAUGUAAAUUAUUGAAACUUGAGUAGUAUUAGUUAUGAUCUUGAAACUUAAAGAAUUUGGCAGUAUUUUAGUCUAUUUAGAGGAAUCUGUUCCGUAAUCGAUAAUCCGCGUUGGACCUUACUUAAUUUUUAGUUAUUUGUAUACCGCCGUUAUUUAAGAUUUUUUUAGAAUUUUAUUUUUAUAAUAUUUAUGGAUAAUAUUUCAGGUCAAGGUGCAGUUUGUAAUUAAGUGGAAAUGGAUUACAAUAUUUUAUUAUAUAUGAAUUAUCUAUUGUAAUAUGAAUAUGAAGGUGGAUUUAAUAGUAAUUUUUUGUAUAUUGUAAAUUUGAUUUUAGCUCUGAAAUAUGUACACAUCGCCCGUCGCUCUCGUUAUUUUUAAAUGAGAUAAGUCGUAACAAAGUAGCCAUACUGGAAGGUGUGGCGAGAAUGAU
rnacentral:ncRNA from 1 species